UAAAUAUAUUCUACAGCUUAUAAUACUGAAAUCUUAAUCAUAAAGUUUUCAAUCAAAUGUUAAGUAUAGGCAUCAAUUGAUUUACAAGAAGUUAGAUUAUCUAAAUGUUUGCUUUUUAAAUGAAAAGAAUCAGAACAAAUUUGAAAUACGAAUAACUUCGCUGUUGACAAGCCGAAGUUCAACCGUCGACAGACGGCUACGAAUAGAAUACGAAUACGCUCUCGCAUCGCUAUUUAUACUUUACGUGAAGAGAAGGGAGUUGAUACUGCGCAUGUGCACUUUACGAAAUCAAAACUACGCGGUUUAACAAUUGUGAAGAGGUAUCUUAAUAUUAACAUAAGAGUAUAACGUAAAAUAAUUUUGUAUCAACAUGUUGAAAAAGUUAAAAAAAAAAAAUAACCAAAAUUGAAAUAAAAUUACCAUACAAAAAAGAAAGCUUGAAGAAAUAAAAUUAAAUGCAAGAAAGAAGCAAGAAAAAAAGAAAAGAAACGAGAGCAUGGAAAUAUAUAAGAAAAAGUAACGAAUAAGAAAGGACAACUGGAAAGUAUAAGAUAAGAUCACAGUAUUAAUGGUAACCUUAAAAGAUAAAAUGGAAACAGAACGAGGACGGAGAUUCAACAAAGAAAUAGAGAAACGACGAAAAAGUAAACGUUGGUGGACGGGUUGGAUAGACUGAAACAACUGAAGAUGAUGAAUUAAGCUUGGUCUUUUUCUGAACUCAAUUCUCGAUGUUGAUGAAUCGAAUUGGAUGAUAGAACUUUGAUGAUAGACGUAAUAAAACCUAUUCUUCAUCCUUUAAAAA